CCUACGGGAGGCAGCAGUGGGGAAUAUUGCACAAUGGGCGCAAGCCUGAUGCGGCAACGCCGCGUGAGGGACGACGGCCUUCGGGUUGUAAACCUCUUUUAGUAGGGAAGAAGCGAAAGUGACGGUACCUGCAGAAAAAGCACCGGCUAACUACGUGCCAGCAGCCGCGGUAAUACGUAGGGUGCAAGCGUUAUCCGGAAUUAUUGGGCGUAAAGAGCUCGUAGGCGGUUUGUCGCGUCUGCUGUGAAAACUGGAGGCUCAACCUCCAGCCUGCAGUGGGUACGGGCAGACUAGAGUGCGGUAGGGGAGAUUGGAAUUCCUGGUGUAGCGGUGGAAUGCGCAGAUAUCAGGAGGAACACCGAUGGCGAAGGCAGAUCUCUGGGCCGUAACUGACGCUGAGGAGCGAAAGCAUGGGGAGCGAACAGGAUUAGAUACCCUGGUAGUCCAUGCCGUAAACGUUGGGGACUAGAUGUAGGGACCAUUCCACGGUUUCUGUGUCGCAGCUAACGCAUUAAGUUCCCCGCCUGGGGAGUACGGCCGCAAGGCUAAAACUCAAAGNGUAAGUGGACGUGAGAGACGCGACGACGACGACGACGGAGGGAGGAG
rnacentral:rRNA from 1 species